ensembl:lncRNA
GGGAGGGGCUAUAAGGGUUCUAUGGGGGCCAUAAGGAUCUAUGGGGGGCUAUAAGGGUCCAUGGAUGGGGCUAUAAGGGUCUAUGGAGGCCAUAACGGUCUAUGGGGGCCAUAAGGGUCUAUGGGGCUAUAAGGGGCUAUAAGGGGCUCUGGGAGGGGGCGCUAUUAGGGUCUAUGGGUCUAUGGGGGGGCUAUUCGGGUCUAUGGGGGCUAUAAGGUUCCAUGGGGGGGGGCUAUAAGGGUCUAUGGGGGCUAUAAGGGUCUAUGGGGUCUAUAACGGUCUAUGGGGGCUAUAAGGGUCUAUGGGGGCUAUAAGGGUCUAUGGGGGGGGCUAUAAGGGUCUAUGGGGGCUAUAAGGCUCUAUGGGGGGGGCUAUAAGGGUCUAUGGGGGCUAUAAGGGUCUAUGGGGGCCAUAAGGGUCUAUGGGGUCUAUAACGGUCUAUGGGGGGGGCUAUAACUGUCU